AUCCAAAUGAAAGCAUCACCACAUCCACACAACCAUACAAAGAAACACAAACAUGCCUGGAUUUGCACACCACUACACCAGUAGCACAUUCAGAAUCUCUGUCUACCACACCAAGCCUAACCUCCAGAGAGUCAAGUCCUGAUGUCCUCAAACUCAGUAACAGGUAACAACUUCAGCCUUAUUUUAAACCAUGUCCGGUACACAUUUAGCAUCCUUUGGCAAGGCUAAAAAUGAACCAGAAUGGCAUCUGCCUCCAAAAAUGAUGCCUCAUUUAACUCACUAAAAAUAAGGUUGAAUCAGGUUCUUUAAGACAUCUAAAACAGCUCUGUUGGUUCUGAGCUGAGAAACACUGAUCUAAAACCAGUUGACUAGGUUUUAACCAUUCAUAGAGUAUCCCAGCACUUCAUAUUUUAAAUGCAUUCGCCUCAUUCACUGAUUAAAAAAGGUUCCAUGAAUUUAACUGUGUAGGCAAAGGAAACAUCCACAUUUUCAAUGAUGGGUUACUCUAGGACUUGAUAACCACUGAUUUAUAUUUGUUUGAUGCCUUUGAAUAAUUUUAAAGCAGACCAUUUUUUUACAACAAUUGUCUCUCUCUCACUUCCUCAGUGUCUGCACACACAAUUUGCUGUGGGUGGUCUGGUCAUAGCAGCGAUAUUAUUUUUAGUUGGAUUGGUCACUGUUCAUCAGAGCAGAAACAGAGUCAAGACAUCAGAAAUUUUCUUAUGUUGUGCAACAGCAACGCCUGGCAAAGUUGAAGAGAACAGCACAGAGAUGAAAUCUACAGAUGAGACUGAAGUCAAGAAAAGCCAAUCAGAUUCAGUCUAUCAGAAUCUAAACCUCAGCACGGUCCAAUCAAAUGAAGUAUAUGGAAAUCUCGGAUUGCUGAAUCAUUUAGUAAUAUUCAGAGUACCAGUCUCUAGACUAACAAUCCCAGAUCUCAAGUACAUUUAA
ensembl:lncRNA